CUGUGGCUUAUAGAUGGGCCUGCGGCGCAUUAGCUAGUUGGUGAGGUAACGGCUCACCAAGGCGACGAUCAGUAGCUGGUCUGAGAGGACGACCAGCCACACUGGAACUGAGACACGGUCCAGACUCCUACGGGAGGCAGCAGUGGGGAAUUUUGGACAAUGGGCGCAAGCCUGAUCCAGCAAUGCCGCGUGAGUGAAGAAGGCCUUCGGGUUGUAAAGCUCUUUUGUCAAGGAAGAAACGGCUCGAGCUAAUAUCUUGGGCUAAUGACGGUACCUGAAGAAUAAGCACCGGCUAACUACGUGCCAGCAGCCGCGGUAAUACGUAGGGUGCAAGCGUUAAUCGGAAUUACUGGGCGUAAAGCGUGCGCAGGCGGUUUUGUAAGUCUGUCGUGAAAGCCCCGGGCUCAACCUGGGAAUUGCGAUGGAGACUGCAAGGCUUGAAUCUGGCAGAGGGGGGUAGAAUUCCACGUGUAGCAGUGAAAUGCGUAGAGAUGUGGAGGAACACCGAUGGCGAAGGCAGCCCCCUGGGUCAAGACUGACGCUCAUGCACGAAAGCGUGGGGAGCAAACAGGAUUAGAUACCCUGGUAGUCCACGCCCUAAACGAUGUCUACUAGUUGUCGGGUUUUAGUUAACUUGGUAACGCAGCUAACGCGUGAAGUAGACCGCCUGGGGAGUACGGUCGCAAGAUUAAAACUCAAA
rnacentral:rRNA from 1 species